UACGAGUGCCUCAAGCGUUAUCCGGAAUCAUUGGGCGUAAAGGAUGUGUAGGUGGUUGUGUUAGUCUUUUGUUAAAUUCUUCGGCUUAACCGGGGGCAUGCAAGGGAAACGGCACGACUAGAGGAUGCGAGGGGUCUGUGGAACUCAUAGUGUAGCGGUGAAAUGCGUUGAUAUUAUGGGGAACAUCAAAAGCGAAGGCAGCAGACUGGAGCACUCCUGACACUGAAACAUGAAAGCGUGGGUCGCGAAUGGG
rnacentral:rRNA from 1 species